AAGAAAGUCGGGACGAUAUUUGACACAAAACACAUCUAGUCAGUAUUUCCUUCACUCUUCCCGGUCGAACCAACCGAAAAUGGAGGCAGCUCUUGCCGCCAUAGCUGCCCACACAGUAGCCCUCGCCUCGCCCCCUCCCUUCCAACCUCUCCUCUUCCCUCUCUCCACCACCCCCAUUCCCACUCUCCAAUCCGCCUUCCGAGACGCCUCCCUCAAGCCCGUCCGCCCCUAUUCCCUCUCCCUCUCCCUGUCGGCAGCCCCCAAUCCCCUCACAGCCAUCGCCGUCACCAAGAAGGCCGUCGCUGUCCUCAAGGGCAACUCCAGUGUGCAGGGCACUAUCACCCUCACUCAGAAAGACAACGGUCCAACAACUGUCAAUGUUCGUGUGACCGGGCUAGCUCCGGGGCCUCACGGGUUCCACUUGCACGAGUAUGGGGACACGACCAAUGGGUGCAUUUCAACAGGAGCACACUUCAAUCCCAAUAAUAUGAAACACGGAGCUCCUGAGGACAGAGUCCGACAUGCGGGUGACCUGGGAAACAUAGUUGCCAAUGCUGAUGGCGUGGCAGAAGCAACCAUAGUUGAUAACCAGAUACCCCUGAGCGGUCCCAAUGCGGUUAUUGGAAGAGCUUUGGUUGUUCACGAACUUGAGGAUGACCUUGGAAAGGGUGGGCAAGAGCUAAGCUUGACAACUGGUAACGCGGGUGGGAGACUGGCAUGUGGUGUUGUUGGUCUGACUCCAGUAUGAGCUCUUGCAUUGGGAUCAGCUGCUUUGCAGGAGAAGCGACGUUCAUCUGUCUGUAUUUCUAUGUAUGAAGUAUGGUCUUCUUCCUGGGCUUAACGUAACAUGUGGUUACUGAGGAUAUCUUCUUAGAAAUAGGAGCACGUGCGCAGCGAAAACUAUAAAAUUGCUCGUCCACACGAACGUGCCACCGCCAAGGAUAGCUUCCUCUUGAUCCAUCCACUCCGAUCUAGAUCACAAACUCGAGCGGAAUCGCCACGGAAGGUGAAGAUCGCAUCAAGGUAGUCUCGGAAAACACCAGUUCACAAAAACAAGGUCGGGAUGGCCUCCGAUCGGUGAAGCUAGGGGUGUGGUUGAGCUGGGAGGUCUUGACCGAGCCACUCUUCUUCUCUCUCUUUUCGAGUCUUGAGAAUAAACGACAUACUCAAGGUUAAUCAUAAGACACUAUAUCUAUAUAUGAAUUCUUAGAUUUACCUUAGGGAUAUAAUUGCAAUUAUUAACUAAUCUAUAUUAAAUUAAUUAGUUACAAUUAUUCCUUGCACUA